GCGGGCGUCGUAUAACGGCUAUUAUGUCACCCUUCCAAGGUGAAAAUGUGGGUUCGACUCCCAUCGCCCGCUCCA
rnacentral:tRNA from 2 species